rnacentral:rRNA from 1 species
CGAGAUCAGGAGAUUAUUGGGCCUAAGCAUCCGUAGCUUGUCCUGCAAGUCCUCCGUUAAAUCCACCUGCUCAACAGAUGGGCUGCGGAGGAUACUACAGGGCUAGGAGGCGGGAGAGGCAAGCGGUACUCAGUGGGUAGGGGUAAAAUCCUCUGAUCCACUGAAGACCACCAGUGGCGAAGGCGGCUUGCCAGAACGCGCUCGACGGUGAGGGAUGAAAGCUGGGGGAGCAAACCGGAUUAGAUACCCGGGUAGUCCCAGCUGUAAACGAUGCAGACUCGGUGAUGGGUUGGCUUGUGGCCAGUGCAGUGCCGCAGGGAAGCCGUUAAGUUUGCCGCCUGGGAAGUACGUACGCAAGUAUGAAACUUAAAGGAAUUGGCGGGGGAGCAC